ensembl:snoRNA
UCUGCCCCAAGCUCUGCAUUGCAGGUGUGGCUGCUGUGUCACUUGUGCAUCAGUAGGGGGCAGAGAGGAGAGAAGCUAUGUCUGUGCUCAGGAUUCUGACUUAUGAACACCUGAGUGAUUAGUGGCCUAACAUU